rnacentral:misc_RNA from 1 species
UCUCCGUUGGUGAACCAGCGGAGGGAUCAUUACCGAGUUUACAACUCCCAAACCCAAUGUGAACCAUACCAAUCUGUUGCCUCGGCGGGGUCACGCCCCGGGUGCGUCGCAGCCCCGGAACCAGGCGCCCGCCGUAGGGACCAACCAAACUCUUUCUGUAGUCCCCUCGCGGACGUUAUUUUUACAGCUCUGAGCAAAAAUUCAAAAUGAAUCAAAACUUUCAACAACGGAUCUCUUGGUUCUG